GCGCAGAUAUACGUCUCAAAGGAGUUUCUGCCUUGAUGUAGUUCAAAGAUGCUGUGCAUACAGUAAAUAUAUCUGCUAUUACUUUUCCCACACAACCAGCAUUUUAUACAGUCAAUAACUGUCAGAAAUAUGCAACACACACAAAUCUGGAGACUUCAGCGUAGUCCUUAAGUGACAAGUUGAGCAACUGUUGCUGCUCGCUCAUGCAUGUACAGAAUGUAAUUUAAAGGCAAGCUGGCCCGUGAUAUCAGGAGGACAGACACGGCAGUCAGUCACAUACGCAGUAGCUUAAAAAGACAGAAGACCUCUGCCAUUUGAAAUGGCGAGCGUGGGGAUUUUUUUUUUUUUUUAAUGCUACAAUUAACUUUUUUCUUCUUGCAUUGAGAAAUUAGUAAAAUGUCAGAAGUUCGAGCCUAAUGUGAGGUCUUGAGUUUGAUUCUCUCUAAGCGAAUGCCAAUAUUUACUUGAUAAAUUACUUUAUCAAAUCAGUUUUCAAUUUCAUAUUAGCAGUAAUAAACUUAACCAGCCCUGCUGUGUGUGUGUGUAUGUGAAUAAAUAAUGAGGUGAUGAUGAUAUUUGAUAAAAGAGGAAGAUGACUAAUCCAUGUAAGAAGGUGUGUAACCGCUGCAGGACGUUACAAGCCACAGAAACCUUUCUCCAGUUGCCUUAUGGAAUGCAACACAGUCAUUGUGUGCAUAUGCUUAUAGAGGGUGUGUGCAUGAGCCAGUGUGUGUGGGGAUCGGCUGGCUAGUGUGUCACCAAAUGUUUUUACUGACUUUGUGAGGAGGAUCUUCGCAGGGCUUCGGGAGUGACGCUGUGGUGUUUUGGAGCGGUAGUCUGUGUGUUUCUUCAGUUUGUCGUCUCGUUUUGUGGAUACACACACUUUACUAUACCUGUUGUUUCUGAUCCUACGUUUUUGAUGAUUGUCACAGUGUUACUGCUUUUAUAAAUGUUGUGUGUUGUCUCGUCAGAUCAUACCUUAUGUAUCGUGUUGUCAUGCAAUAUUUCUUCUGACUGUAUGGAAGUGAAAGCAGGUGCUGCUUAGAGGAAUCCUCCUGUCUGGUUUUGUCUGCGUUUGUUGGAGAGCACUCGACCGUUGCAUUUCUACUGUUCUCAUUUAAACACAGCAGUACGUAUUCUACUUUAGACUGGGUUCACAAACAAAAAUGGCCACUAUAUACUGAAUAUUGUAUUUAUUACAAUUUAUUGAUCAGUUAUUUUCACAGGCUUGGGGCAAGUGAUUGGCAGAAGGGUGAAGAAGCAGGAAUUUGUGAUGAAACUGUUAAUUUUGUCAUGUUGGAGGUUCACACACAUGGGUCUAGACUGCGAUUCUUGUGUUGUUAACCGAGUGAUUUGUUGGACCUCCAAUCAUUUAAUGUAGGUGUAGGUUUGAGUUUGUUACAUGUUUUAAAUCAUUAUCGUCUGCAUCAAGUCUGAAAUGUAAUUUUUGCCUUACGAGAGCAUUGUGAAAGCGUUCGGUUGAAACGGUGGAAGCCACAUUCUUUAUUACUCUGCUGAAAACCCUUUAUACAUGUAUUCUGUUUCCUGUGUGGAUGUGACGUCGCAUAACCACUGAAUAUACUCUGACGACCGGGAGAAACUGCUCCCUGCAGCAGAACACAUGCCACUGUACACACAGCCAUGUUCAGUCAAACCUCAACACUACAAUACACGCUUUUGCUGUGUCUGAAAUGGCUUGUCCUCCGCAUAGUGAGCUAAUUUUGUCACAUCAGGAUCACAUCUGGCCCAUUAUGCAUCCAUUUCCAAUUCUGCUGCUCAUGAAAACCACAGGAAAACUAUUGAUCAACGAAGUGCACUUUCUAGGAGAGGUCAUGGGUCAAAUUUAAAAACUCCUGAUAUAACCAGUAUUUACUGUCAAAUGUAAUACUGUCAUAUUACAACUGUAUGCAACUACUAGUGGCAUGUUAGUCAUGUAAACUCUAAUCUGUGUUCCGGGGUGGCAAACACAUGCAGAGAAGGGGGGGGGGGCGAAUUCAAAUAAAAUACAAUGUUGUACCAAAGCAAGUAUCUCAACAGCAAGGCUGUGCUCUGUUUAUCUGUGGUGGGGCUCUUGUGAUUAAUGUAACCUUAAAUACCCCAGUGUAUGUCAUGUAUGUGGGGGAUGUGUGUGGGCACACACUGGUCAUUGCAAAAUACCGUGUGUGUGUGUGUGUGUGUGUGUGUGUGUGUGUGCGUGUGUGUUUGUUUGGCAAGGUGUGUUUUAACUGUCUCUGUCUGGGGUUUGGAUUUCUGGCGUUAUGCACUGCAUGAUACUGCUGUUAUGAUUUGCACUUUAAUGAGUAUUUAUUGAAAAACAAUAAAGAAAAC